GUGGGUUGCGCUCAUAAUUUGGACCUGACUUUUUCUGUCUUUCAGGGUCCCAGCACCAUCCUACUGACAGUUUCGUGAAUCUAUUCAGUCUGGCAAGGUCCCUGCGGAGUAAAUCUUCAGCUUGUCUCGGUGUCCCAUCUCUGAAAGGCCAAAAUCCCACUCGGAUCUCUUAUGAACCUUCACCCCCGAUGGUGGAACAGCCUGUUCUGCACUGGCGAGUUUUUCGCUGCUCGUGACAAGAGCCAAAAUGCACUUCUUCAGGCAGCACUUCAUCCCCUGACACGCUGCAGUUACGUCUCAUUGGUUUCUUUUCAUAUUUUCACCCUGGCCGCUUCUAUAAUGCUCACAGUUCUACGGCUGGGCUCUGUUAUUUGUUUUAUUUUUUUAAUGGACUCCCUGUCUCGGCCCUGCACCUCUGCUCUCUCCAUGAGGCCCGUGUAAUUACGUCUCCCAAGCCGCGCACAGCCCGCAGCCGCCACAGAGCAGAGUUGCGGCAAGCCAGAGCCUAACCUGGCAACACGGGGCACAAGGGACAUACCCAGGAGGGGACACCAGUUUGCUGCAAGGCACCCAAACCAGGACUUGGUCCCCAUACCCUCCACCUGGCCAAACCCACUGCGCCAUCGCAUCCCCCCCAAUAGUUAUUAGUGCUACCCAGUUCCUACUGUGUUAUAUUUUGUAAAUGUUUUUAACUUAUUUGUAAUCUUAAUGUAUGUUUUUACUUUUUCACCCCCCCCCCAGCUUGUGGAAAAAGACAUUUCAUUGCCAGCAACAAUUGCUAUGCACUGUAUUGUUGUGCAUUUGAUAAAUAAACCAUUGACUG
rnacentral:lncRNA from 1 species